CAAAUUAAAAACAAAUAUUAACGUAAAUUACCAGCUAGAUCCUUUAUUAUAGCAGUUUUGUGUUAUUUUUUUGGAUGUGCAACGAGCUGUUAAAUAUACAAUGAUGUGUAAAGAAAAAGUCAUUGCUCAUGACCUUCCUGAAGCUCUUGCUCAUCUGAAUCUAGUUAAAGAUCAUGCAUAUACAGCUCUAACUACAGUAAACAGUUUACUUCAGAGAGUUCAAGAUGGAGAUCUUCCCACGAAAAAGGGUAUCACUAUUUUGGAGGUGAAAAACCACAUGCUCCUAAGUUAUUUGACAAACCUCACUUUCUUGAUGUGGAGAAAACUUAAUGGCCAGAAAAUCAGUGGAGAAACAGCAGUGGAAAGGCUGGCAGAGUAUAGAACUGUUCUUGAAAAAAUAAGACCCAUUGAACAAAAGCUGAAGUACCAAAUUGAUAAACUAAUAAAAACAGGAACCAUAGAACAGCUUGAUCCUGAUGACCCUUUGAAGUUCAAAGCUAAUCCAGAUAGUUUAAUAAGCAAAUUAGCUGAAGAUGAAGAUGAAUCAGUUUCUGAUGAAGAGAAGGAAGAGAAGUCCAACAUAUAUGUCCCACCAAAACUAUCUGCUGUACAUUAUGAAGGGGAUGAGACUGAACAUGAUCGACAACAAAGAAUACUGGAGCGAGCAAGAAAGCGAGUACUAAGUACUAGCAUUAUGCAAGAGCUUAGAAAGGAAUACAGUGAAGCACCAGAAGAGAUAAAGGAAUCGGUUGAUUUUCAGAAAGAAACAGCAGCCAAGCAUAUCAAAGAAAAAAUCAACUAUGAGGAAGAAUACAUGACACGACUGACAGUCACUAAAAAGGAAAGAAUGCCAGAAAGAAGUUGAAUGGAAUGUAUGACUUAGACCAUUUAACUACAUUUGAAGACAUCUCAGCACUUGAUGCAGAAGCAAUUGAUGACUUGCCAAUGAAGAAAAAGAAAAAACUUGCAAAAAAGCAAAUGAAGAUGAAAAAGAAGGGGAAGAAAAAAGGUUUCAGAAAAAGAAGAUAAGCCACCACAAGAUCACUUAUGUGAAUUCCUUGGAUUGUUCAAGACAAUUGAGUGCAAAAAAAAAUUAUUAUUGUUCUAAAUUGUGCAAGGACAUAAGUAAAAGGUUGUUAUGAUUGACAGCCUUACUGUAUUUUUGUAAUAAAAGUUUUAAUCCUCUGUUA
rnacentral:misc_RNA from 1 species